UGAGGGAUAUUGGGCAAUGCCCGCAAGGGUGACCCAGCAACGCCGCGUGGAGGAUGAAUGUCGUAAGAUUGUAAACUCCUGUUAGAGGGGAAGAAUAGUACCGGUUGGACCGGUAUAUGACUGUACCCUCAGAGAAAGCCCCGGCUAACUACGUGCCAGCAGCCGCGGUAAUACGUAGGGGGCAAGCGUUGUCCGGAUUUACUGGGUGUAAAGGGCGCGCAGGCGGGAUAAAAAGUCAGUGGUGAAAUCCCACAGCUUAACUGUAGAACUGCCUUUGAUACUUUUAUUCUUGAGUUCGGGAGAGAGAGACGGAAUUCCAGGUGUAGUGGUGAAAUACGUAGAUAUCUGGAAGAACACCAGUUGCGAAGGCGGUCUCUUGGUCCGACACUGACGCUGAGGCGCGAAAGCGUGGGGAGCAAACA
rnacentral:rRNA from 1 species